AAUUAUAUAGUUUAAUGAGAACAUUAAAUUGCAAGUUUAAAGGUAAGUUAGUUUUAUAAUUU
rnacentral:tRNA from 1 species